GGCCUUUUGCACAGCAAUGGACCUGACGAUACUGAAAGCGUGUUUGGGGCUGGUAUCCUGGGACCUUCACGUGGUGGCCCUGUUUAAACUAAUCUUACCAGGAUGUGCUUCCAGAAGGUUUACAUCUAAAAACAUUAAGGUACAACCUACCAUGGAUGAGAAGCUUACUGGAGAGAAGAGGGAAAGCAUGGGCGUCGCGAGGGGGGGGGCACUUGCUCCCCCCCCCCC